rnacentral:tRNA from 1 species
GGUGCCAUAGCUUAGUUGGUUAAAGCGCCUGUCUAGUAAACAGGAGAUCUUGGGUUCGAAUCUCAGCAGUGCCU